rnacentral:rRNA from 1 species
AUACGUAGGGGGCAAGCGUUAUCCGGAUUCACUGGGUGUAAAGGGAGCGUAGACGGCAUGGCAAGUCUGAUGUGAAAACCCGGGGCUCAACCCCGGGAUUGCAUUGGAAACUGUCAAGCUAGAGUGCAGGAGAGGUAAGUGGAAUUCCUAGUGUAGCGGUGAAAUGCGUAGAUAUUAGGAGGAACACCAGUGGCGAAGGCGGCUUACUGGACGGUAACUGACGUUGAGGCUCGAAAGCGUGGGGAGCAAACAGGAUUAGAUACCCUGGUAGUCCACGCCGCAAACGAUGAAUACUAGGUGUUGGGAGACAAUAGUUUCUCGGUGCCGCAGCAAACGCAAUAAGUAUUCCACCUGGGGAGUACGUUCGCAAGAAUGAAACUCAAAGGAAUUGACGGGG